GCAGGCCUAAUACAUGCAAGUCGAACGGGAAGAGGCCUUUCGGGGCUUCUGAGAGUGGCGGACGGGUGCGUAACGCGUAUGCAACCAACCCCCGACGGGAGCACAGCCGGUGGAAACGCCGGGUGAUGCGCCAUGCGGCCCAGGGAGGGCAUCCUUUUUGGGCGAAAGCCUACGGGCGGUCGGGGACGGGCAUGCGUGCCAUUAGCUGGUUGGCGGGGCGACGGCCCACCAAGGCUGCGAUGGCUAGGGGAUCUGAGAGGACGGUCCCCCACACUGGUACUGAGACACGGACCAGACUCCUGCGGGAGGCAGCAGUAAGGGAUAUUGGUCAAUGGGGGGAACCCUGAACCAGCCAUGCCGCGUGAGGGAAUGAGGCCCUACGGGUCGUGAACCUCUUUUGUCCAGGGACAACAGCCCGGUCGUGAACCGGGUUUGAGGGUACUGGAAGAAUAAGCGUCGGCUAACUCCGUGCCAGCAGCCGCGGUAAUACGGAGGACGCGAGCGUUAUCCGGAUUCAUUGGGUUUAAAGGGUGCGCAGGCGGCCUUUCAAGUCAGCGGUGAAAGCCCGGGGCCCAAACCCGGAAGUGCCGUUGAUACU
rnacentral:rRNA from 1 species